AUGAAGUGUAAGUACAAAAUACGGAGUUUGGAUGUCCAAUGUGCGAUUAUGAGAAUGCUCGGCAUUCUGCCGAUGAGAGGCUAUUCGAAGGCUAUUCAGAGAUGUAUCGCCAAUGGUAUAUUAGUACUCUUGUUGAUCAACGUUCUUGGUAAACUGAUUUACAUCUACAAAGUCAAUCCAGAGUUGAGCUUCUGGCGCAAAGUGAGCAACGUUAACUUGUGGUACUACCAGACAUACACUUUCUUCAUGUACCUCAGUCUGUACGUCGAUUCGGAGGGGAUACUGACAUUGAAGCAGCAUGUCGAGGGAACUUUCUAUCACACGUCCUCGGAGGAAACGAGGAAAAUUAUCAGAAGUUCUAGGAGGAAGGAACAGACUUUUUGCUUGGUGGCGGCGUUGGCUAUGAUAAGUUUGGUCGCAUUGGCGCUGUUCGCUUACCUCUUCGUCGUGCCAAAGUCUUCCGGAUUGAGUCAAUCGACGGAGGAGUAUUUCCGACGUGAAGGGAAAAGGUUUCCGGAGAACCAAAACGUGAUGAAAAAUUGGUUCCCGUUCGAUGAGACGGUGCCGCCGUGGCCUGAAACGUUAAACGCCAUCGGGAUCUCCCUGUUUCUGAGCUGUACCGUUCUCCUCUACAUAUUCAUCACGUUCGUUCCUCUGGUGGGCUUCCACGUCCAGGGCCAGUUUCAAAUACUCCUCCAUCAAAUAGCGAGUCUGAGUGGGGAUCUUCUCACUGCCCCGGUGUCUUCGGCGACCAGCGAUGAGAGACACGAGGUCGUGUACAAGAAGAUAAGAGACUUAGUCGAACAUCAUCAACUGAUACUCAGGUCAGGAAAUCUAUGUUUAAAUUGGACUGCAUUGUGCAAUUUGGACCUGUAAAUUCUGGCUCAUCUGAAAAAACACUUAUGUGCAUAGGGAAACUAAUGGCACAUACGUUGUUUUUAAACAGGGCCGGAAUUUAUAGGUCCAAACUGCAAAAUGCAGUCCAAUUACACGUUAGGGAAAUUUGAAUUUCCAUCGCGAAAGAACGUAACUUCAUUUGGAUCACAUUUUGCAAUGUGGAACCAUUUCUGGCCCAUUAUACAAAUGAAAUAUAUGCCAUCGCUUUCCCUAUGCAGAAAGGUGAUUUUAUAAAGGAGCUAGAGAUGGUGGUUCCUUAUUGCAAAAUGUGAUCCGUUUCAAUGUUGUCAAAUGUUUCCUCACAAAUUGGAUUUUUUUCGAGGAGAAUAUUGGGCAUUUCGAACUGGACAUUUCACUGGUUUUUCGCACAAAUAAGUCUAGUAGUUUUACACAAAAAAAAAAAGUAAUCUAACACCAUAAUCAAGGUUCGUAUCCGGGUAGUUUCAUCAUUGAUAUAUUACUUAUGAUGUAGAAGAAACAAGGUGGAGAAAUAGUGCUGGGUUCUCACCAUUUUUUAUUUUAUUUGUGUAUUUUAUUUUAUUCAUUAGUGUUAUUUUUCACUUAUUAUGUAGUUUUUUUACGUUUCUGCGAGACGUCGCGAAAUUGACGGACAACCCUUAUUCCGUGUACACGAUUUGUAAGAUUUCCAUAUAUCCUACUUCUAGAUUUUGUCACGAGUACUCAGUCUUCUGCCGAGCAAUGCUGCUGGUUCGGGGUACUUUCUGCUCAAUUUAUAUUGCAUCGACAGUGAUGCUCACCUCCUCCAUGGUAUGUACUUUAAAAGAGACUCUAUUAAACUUGUCAUUGUAAGUAGUGUUACAAGUAGAUGGUCACUAUAAUGUAAAUUUAAUUCUUAAAAUAGGUAAAUUAAUUAAAGGUCCCUGUCAAAGAAAAGCUUGCAAUGUAGUGAGCUAUAUACGCCAUUGUUUUUUACUCUCUUGUGAGCCUCAAGCACGAAACGUAAUUUUAUUACACUGUUAACACUUCUGUUCAGUUUUUUGAAAUUAUUGCACCGAAGUCGAAGAAAAUGAGUGGGAAAAAUAAUUAAUCUGGCUGAAAUAAUACGUUACAGUGCCUUUCAACAAAUAAUUUGCCCACACUACAAGGGUGCAUGCGUGCUUCAAUCUAAAAAUAGGCACAGGCUCGCUGUCAAGUGAAUGUCAUCCGGUGACAGUAAUUGCAGGUUCUGUGACCCACGGUCAGGAAAUAGUGCCAUUCAAGGAUCAUGCGAACUGUCAUCUCAAAAUGAGCACAGGGCUGUGAAAUAAAUAUUACCCGACCAAAAGGUCUAGUUCAAACCAAAAGAUUUGAUAUCUAAAAUUCUUGCACUAAAAUCUGGAUCCCUCUUUAUGUAUUCAUUCAUAUUGUGUUGUUCAGUAAUUAAAUACUAAUGGUUUUUUGUUCCUAAUAGAUAAGCAACCCAAGGCUGAUUCCUUUCAUUGUAUCUCAAAUAAUAUUUUCGAUGUUAGAUGUCUUCAUGUUUUGCUACUUUGGAGAAAUGUUUAUUCAAAAUGUGAGUGCUUCCGACUAAUAUAUCAAUGUAAAGUAUAAAAGGUUUAAGAGAAUACUU
rnacentral:lncRNA from 1 species